rnacentral:rRNA from 1 species
GAUGAACGCUGGCGGCGUGCCUAAUACAUGCAAGUCGAGCGAACAGACGAGGAGCUUGCUCCUCUGACGUUAGCGGCGGACGGGUGAGUAACACGUGGAUAACCUACCUAUAAGACUGGGAUAACUUCGAGAAACCGGAGCUAAUACCGGAUAAUAUAUUGAACCGCAUGGUUCAAUAGUGAAAGACGGUUUUGCUGUCACUUAUAGAUGGAUCCGCGCCGCAUUAGCUAGUUGGUAAGGUAACGGCUUACCAAGGCAACGAUGCGUAGCCGACCUGAGAGGGUGAUCGGCCACCCUGGAACUGAGACACGGUCCAGACUCCUACGGGAGGCAGCAGUAGGGAAUCUUCCGCAAUGGGCGAAAGCCUGACGGAGCAACGCCGCGUGAGUGAUGAAGGUCUUCGGAUCGUAAAACUCUGUUAUUAGGGAAGAACAAAUGUGUAAGUAACUAUGCACGUCUUGACGGUACCUAAUCAGAAAGCCACGGCUAACUACGU